rnacentral:rRNA from 1 species
UACGUAGGGUGCAAGCGUUGUCCGGAAUUAUUGGGCGUAAAGAGCUCGUAGGCGGUCUGUCGCGUCGGCUGUGAAAACCCGAGGCUCAACCUCGGGCCUGCAGUCGAUACGGGCAAACUAGAGUACUGCAGGGGAGACUGGAAUUCCUGGUGUAGCGGUGAAAUGCGCAGAUAUCAGGAGGAACACCGGUGGCGAAGGCGGGUCUCUGGGGCAGUAACUGACGCUGAGGAGCGAAAGCGUGGGGGAGCGAACAGG